CCGUGAUGGAUAUUCUCAAUAUUCAUCAUUACAACUUAACAAUAAUUAUAUUUAUUUAAUUAGGGAGUAUUUGGUCAUUAUUAUGGUCUCACUUUUUAGCAUGUUAUUCCAUUUUCAAUAUUCAAAUAUGUCUAAGCACCCUAAUAUACAUCUCAUGCAUAUUAUAGACAAACCAACCAAGGAUGAUCAUGGAAUUUUCUAAUAAAACCAAUUUGAGCCAAAAUUGGUUUUAAGGUCCACCUAGGUAUCAAGCAAACAAUAAUGAUUAUGAGACAUCUUAUGCCUCAAAUUAUUACAAUUAUUAGAUUCUAUUUGAGAGGCCAAAAUAUCAUUGGAAGUGCUGCAACGAUCCAUAAAGUCUUCUUGCUCCAACCUCCAAGGCAUUGUAAAUACAUCGUCCCUCCUUUUACAAUCAUCUUGUAGAAAUUACAUAUUUAGAAGAAUUGGGGUACAAAUUUAGGGGUAAUGGGAUACAAUCAGAUCUUAAUAGAAGGAGAGACAUGCAAGUCCCUAUUUAAAAAUAUUACAACCAUUUAAGCCUUUAGAAAUCGGCCAAAUCAACAAAUAAAUCAAUAGCUCAUUCAAUCACGCAUAUAUUCAAUCAUCACAUGACAUAAAUAUAUCAUAAAAUAUCUAGGUCUUUCCAUGAUCAUCCUUC
rnacentral:lncRNA from 1 species